rnacentral:rRNA from 1 species
UACGGGGGGAGCAAGCGUUGUUCGGAUUUACUGGGCGUAAAGGGCGCGUAGGCGGCCACCGCAAGUCAGUUGUGAAAUCUCUGGGCUUAACCCAGAACGGUCAGCUGAUACUGCGGGGCUAGAGUGCAGAAGGGGCAACUGGAAUUCUCGGUGUAGCGGUGAAAUGCGUAGAUAUCGAGAGGAACACCUGCGGCGAAGGCGGGUUGCUGGGCCGACACUGACGCUGAUGCGCGAAAGCCAGGGGAGCGAACGGG